CGUAAAAGAGCAGUGGACCUCAAUGUUAAAAUCUUGGAUUUGAGUAGUACAUUUCUUAUGGGAACCAAUUUUCCCAACAAGAUUGAGAAGCAUCUCUUACCAGAACACAUUCGUCGUAACUUUACAUCUGCUGGGGAUCAUAUCAUAAUUGAUGGUCUCCACGCAGAAUCACCGGAUGACUUGGUGCGAGAAGCUGCUUAUAAAAUUUUUCUUUAUCCCAAUGCUGGUCAAUUGAAAUGUUUAGAAGAAUUGCUCAGCAGCAGAGAUCUUCUGGCAAAGUUGGUGGGGUAUUCCACGUUUUCUCACAGGGCUCUCCAAGGAACGAUAGCUAAAAAUCCAGAGACUGUCAUGCAGUUCCUUGAAAAACUAUCUGACAAACUUUCUGAAAGAACUCUGAAAGAUUUUGAGAUGAUACGAGGGAUGAAAAUGAAACUGAAUCCUCAAAAUUCCGAAGUAAUGCCCUGGGACCCCCCCUACUACAGUGGUGUGAUUCGUGCAGAAAGCACCCCGCAGGUUUGCUGACAGCAUGCUUGAGUGAACGAACCAGGGAGCGAGGGCACUGGAUCAUGAACGUCUCUUUCAACACUAGGAUUCUGUUUAAAGAAAAAUCAGUCAGAAAUUAAGGUGUAAAUUUGUGGAUGUCCAUAGCCAAAGUCUCAUUUGUUGUGCAAUUUAUGUUCACUUACUAAACUCAUUCAUUUAUUAGUAACUAUGUUUUUAUAUUUUUAUAUAUAAAUUUGUUGUGGGGACUCAUUUUAUGGAACGAAGUGUUGUGCAGUUCUAGAAUCACAAAUAAAGCCAAU
rnacentral:sRNA from 1 species